rnacentral:rRNA from 1 species
UGCCAGCAGCCGCGGUAAGACAGGAGGAGCGAGUGUUGUUCGGAAUUACUGGGCGUAAAGCGCGCGUAGGCGGAUUAGACAGUUGAGGGUGAAAUCCCGGAGCUUAACUCCGGAACUGCCUUCAAUACUACUAAUCUUGAGUUCGGAAGAGGUGAGUGGAAUUCCUAGUGUAGAGGUGAAAUUCGUAGAUAUUAGGAAGAACAUCAGUGGCGAAGGCGACUCACUGGUCCGAUACUGACGCUGAGGUGCGAAAGCGUGGGGAGCAAACAGGAUUAGAUA